rnacentral:rRNA from 1 species
UGGCUCAGAACGAACGCUGGCCCGAAUGCCUUACACACGCAAGUCGAACGGCAGCACGGGUGCUUGCACCCGGUGGCGAGUGGCGAACGGGUGAGUAAUACAUCGGAACAUGUCCUGUAGUGGGGGAUAGCCCGGCGAAAGCCGGAUUAAUACCGCAUACGAUCCACGGAUGAAAGCGGGGGACCUUCGGGCCUCGCGCUAUAGGGUUGGCCGAUGGCUGAUUAGCUAGUUGGUGGGGUAAAGGCCCAACAAGGCGACGAUCAGUAGCUGGUCUGAGAGGACGACCAGCCACACUGGGACUGAGACACGGCCCAGACUCCUACGGGAGGCAGCAGUGGG